rnacentral:rRNA from 1 species
UACGUAGGGUGCGAGCGUUAAUCGGAAUUACUGGGCGUAAAGGGUGCGCAGGCGGCGUCGCAAGUCAGGCGUGAAAUCCCCCGGGCUUAACCUGGGAACUGCACUUGAAACUACGAUGCUGGAGUAUGGCAGAGGGAGGUGGAAUUCCACGUGUAGCGGUGAAAUGCGUAGAGAUGUGGAGGAACACCGAUGGCGAAGGCAGCCUCCUGGGCCAAUACUGACGCUCAUGCACGAAAGCGUGGGGAGCAAACAGG